CAGGGAGACAACAAAAUGUUUAAUAUUAUUAUUUUGUCACCUUAGGUCGAUCGGUAUCUCACGUUCUUAAUUUAUUAAGAAUUUCAUUUCCUAAGUUUUUCUAGGUCACACCCAUUAUUUUUCCUGGGCCAUUAGCUCAGGUGGUUAGAGCGCACCCCUGAUAAGGGUGAGGUCCCUGGUUCAAGUCCAGGAUGGCCCAUAUCUCUAUGUUGGGGGUAUAGCUCAGUUGGUAGAGCGCCUGCUUUGCAAGCAGGAUGUCAGCGGUUCGAGUCCGCUUACCUCCACUGAUUACCACCUCUUCCAUAAUCUGUAGAAAGGAAAUGUUUUGAGUUGUGAUCAAAUUCUGAACGAAUCUAGCUUCCUAAUGAAUUCAUUAAGAUGCUGGACUCAUUGAAUUAAAUUCAUUGUUUUCAGAGAACCUUGACAACUGCAUAGAUUAUUUUUUUUAAAGACAAUAAGCAUCUUUAAUGAUGCAGAUUUAUUAUUUGUGCGAAUGCAUUAAUAACAAUUCUAUUAAGCUGAUGCUUCAAUUUUGAAGUUAUU
rnacentral:tRNA from 1 species